UUGGGAAUAACAGACGUGGGUGGGGGAGACACCUCCGGGCCCCCCGCUGCUUCUGGGGUGGCAGGGCCGCAGAGUCUUCCUGGCCUCUGCUAGUGUCCCAGAGCCGGGGAGAGAACCCAGGAGUCCUGGCUCCCAGUGCCCCCCCUGCUCUAACCACUAGACCCCCCCACUCCCCUUCCAGACUCAGGGAGAGAACCCAGGACUCCUGCUCCCAGCCCCCCGUGCUCUAACCCACUAGACCCCCACUGCGGCUGUAGAUGGGGGUGUCCCCGAGACACUGGCUGACAGAAACUGAUGCAGAUUCUCUGUCAGGACUGGCUCAGAUGAACCCCUGGCCCUGCGCACAGGCAGGCGGUGGGGGCGGGUGAGUCUCACCCAGACUUCAGGGGAAGCCAGCGACCAAUUCUCCGAAAAACACCCGCUUAUCUCCCAGCGCCAGAUAAAGGGGAAGGAGCUGAGCAAGAGAGAGAGAGAGAUGAGCCCAAACCCAGCCCUGCCGGUGCCCCUCACUCCCGACCCGCAGCCCCUGCCCUCCCCACCCUCCAACACAGCCCUGCCGGUGCCCCUCACGCCCGACCCGCAGCCCCUGCCCUCCCCACCCUCCAACACAGCCCUGCCGGUGCCCCUCACACCCGACCUGCAGCCCCUGCUAGCCCAGCACUGGGACAGCUCCCUCAGCACUAUCAAGCAGAGAUCAGUGUCAUUGGGCUAGUAAAUACAGUAGGACCUACAUUAAGCACAGCAGGUUCAUACCAUAAGGCUUGUUGUAAUAAGAUUGCAAUGGUCAAGGCUGGGGGGGGACCCUGACACCCCCUGCUGGAGAGGAGAAGCCCUGCUGUGUGCGCGUGCGUCCGUCCCUGCUGCAGGGGAUGGGCCCUGCUCUGGGCGUAAACAGCAGGGCCCUCUUUGAAAACUCUGCUGUGUGUCAUGCUCCCUAUACUGCUACCCAGUAGCAGAGAGUCUCCGUCCACUCACCCUCUUUCCCCGAAGCGGAGCUCAGCUCGCGGGUUGUUUUAUUUUCUUAUUGAUAGGGAAAAAAUUCUGCAGCUUACCGAGCUCAGCAAGAGUCUAAGAUAGGAAGAGUGAGAGAGGAAAAAGAAAGAUUCUGCUAGAGGGAGCAAAGGGUGCACUGAAAGACGACACAGAAAAAAUCGACAAUGAUUGAAAGAUCACACAAAAGGAGGAGUAUCCACCCUCCACCUCGCUCUUUUUCUGGGCAUCUCGGCUUCCCUGACUCCAUCCGUUCUUGGCUCUCCUCCCACCUCCCCGGGGCUCGGUCGUUCUCUUCUCCAUCUGCACCUUCUCCCUCCCACAAACCCGGGUCUAACUCCUGCCUCCACUCCCAGAUUGACCUCACCAAGCAAAAAUCCGGCCACCUCCUGGCUAUCUAACCAGCUCCUCACCCCAGCUUGCCUGUCACGGUUGACGCGGGCCUUCCUCUCACGUGCAGACUCCGUGGAAGUCUUGCGGAUGCCACCCGACGUCCUCAAGAUCCAGCUUUUCCUCUCUAUCCUCGCCCCACCGCAUCGUCUGGGCGAUCUUGCCCGGCUCGUCCCUGCCUGGAAAGGGGGGGAAGGGGGGGGGCUCAAAAUCCUCCUCCAAGCCCAUUUCUCUGACCACACUGCCCCUAAGAAAGAGAAGAACGGCCACGCCAGGUCAGUCCAAUCGCUGCUGACAGCGGCCAACGCCAGGUGCUUCAGAGGGAAUGAACUGUGAUCCACCGCGUCACCCAGUGCCAGCUACUGGCAAUCAGAGGUUUAGGGACACCCAGACCAUGGGGAGGCAGCCCUGGACAUCCUGGCUAAUAGCCACUGAUGGACCGAUCAGCCAUGAACUUAUCUAAUGCGUUUUCGAACCCUUGCAGCCCUCCACUGACACCCCCUUCUCUGGCACAUCAGACAUAAGCCAUUUGGACAAUGAGAAGGAGUUUUUUUAACCACAUGAGGAACAAAAAGGAUCCUGAGAACACUCCAUUCCUUGAUGGAAAUGGUAAACUUACCAGUACUAGCACAGAACAGGCAGACGCGGUCAAUAAAUAUUUCUGUUCUGCGUAAGAAAAACAGACAUUGCAGGCUCAUCGGACGAGUGAUGACAACACUCUUUCCAUUCCACUAGUGUCUCUGGAGAAUGUUACACAGACACUACCAAAAAUCAAACAUUUUUAAAUCAUGUGGCCCAGAGAACUUCAAUCCAAGAGUUUUACAAGAGCUGGCCGAGGAGCUGGCUGUACUGUUACUGUUGCUUUGGAGCACUGGGGAAGGUCCAGAAGACUAUAAUAAAUCAAUGUGCCAAUUUUUUAAAAGAGGGUGAAUGGGAUGAUCUGGGUAAUUAUAGGUCUGUCAGCCUGACAUCCAUCCUGGGCAAGAGAACAGAGAGGCGGAUACAGGACUUGAUCAAUGAAGAAUUAAAAGAGAGUGAUGUAAUUAAUGCCAAUCAAUAGAGGUUUACGGAAAAUAGAUUUGGUCAAACUAACUUGAUAUCUUUUUUUAAUGAGAUUACACGUUUGGUUGCUAAAGGUGACAGCGCUGAUGUAACAGGCAGACUUCGCCGAGGCGUUUGACCUGGUCGCGCAUAACACGGAUUAAAAAUUCACACAAUGUAACAUUAACACAACCCACAUUAAAUGGCUUAAAAACCA